AAAGGAAUGUCUUGGGGCAACCCUAAAUAAACUGGUGACCUACAGAUCAAAGAUGCUGUGUUUUAUUAGCCAUCUCCUGACCCAGCCAAUCCUACUGUCCUCUAACUGUUACACAUAACCAGAUAAACCCUCCCUUCUCCUGCCUUUCUUCCUCUGAGAAUCACAAGAAUCACAAAUCAGCCCCGACAGCAUUUGGUUUCUCAUCUUCAGGAAUGUGGCUGGGCCUGCGUGAUUCUGAAGACUUGAAUGGAAGCAGACUGGCUGAGCUUAAUCCUAAGGACAGAGACAUGGCUGGUAGCAAGAGAGGUCCACUGAGGUUCCCACGAGGUUCCAUCUUGGUCAGUGAAGGCAUUGAAUAAGAAUGUCUUCUAAGGGAAGACCCUGAGAAUUCAGUUCUGGAGAGGGAAGAUGAAGAACAGAUUCACCUCAUGAGCCAUGCAAACAAGGACCUGCCAGAGCCUACCUGGUGACCUCAGGUGAUGGCGAAUUCUAGUGAAGAAGCUUGAAAGACAUGGUGGCCAACAGAAAAAUAAAUCAUUAAUCCUAAGGUUAACUAACUAUUGAAU